GCCCAGGUAGCUCAGUUGGUAGAGCAGAGGACUGAAAAUCCUCGUGUCGGCGGUUCGAUUCCGUCCCUGGGCAC
rnacentral:tRNA from 1 species